rnacentral:lncRNA from 1 species
CUGAAGUUGGCUGGAAGGGACAGCUCCCCUCACUGGCACUGGUUCUCAAGCCUGCCGGGCUCAGCAGGAGGCAUGCCAGCUUUGAUCUCACCUCCUUUGUGAGGAGGGUGGCUACCAGGAAACUGCCUUGCAAUUAUCUUGUUUAAGAUGAGCAGAGGAGAUAUUCACUCCCUGCAGGAAUAACCUGAGUUUCCAGGGAGGUCUCUUUUUACUGGGAAAUAAUGAACAUUAUUCUAGUUCAGGGUUGGGCUAGUGUGCUGGCACAGAUUUCUGGCUUCUCACCUUCCUGACCCUGUUCGAAAUCCCCUAUUCUCAGCUGCUUUCUGGGGCAGAGAGAGGAGUAAGUUGCAAUGACUCUCCCAAGACGUGCUGAUGGCUGAUAUGGAUGGAGUUUCUCUUCUUCCUCAGGUCACCUUGGCGAAAGCAAGCUCUUCCCCACUCGAACCCCAAGAAAGGUGGACUAGGGGAUAUCUUUGCCCAUAUAGUGGAGUUUUUAGGCAAGGACCAUUUCUCAAGGUGUGCUCCAAGACUGCCCGGAUCUGAAACUCCUUACCGAAGUGUUUAUUCCAGUUUGGCAGCAGCUGUGGCAAUGAAGCCUCAACUACCCUGCACCCAUCAGUCUCACUCCUAAGUCUAUACGGGAGCAUGGAGUGUUUGUGUGCAUCCAAAGAAACAGAUAAGGUUAUUGGGGUAGUGCUGUUCAAAAGAUUCCAAGGCUGGAAUCAACCCAGCUGUCCAUCAACAGGAGAACCGGGGAACAAAUGUGGUCCAUCCAUAUUCAGCAAUAAAAGUAAAUAACUUUGGAUGAAGAGAAUGCAUUCAGCUUGCUGAGCAGAAAAUCCAGGCAGAGAGUGAGUCCACUCAUAGGAAGCUCAAGUGCAGGAGAAACCAUGAUGGCAGAGUUAGACCACUGGUGCCUGGAGGAUGGUGGAGUUCCUGCUCAGGAAAGGCACGCGGGAGACAGCUGGGGCAUGGGACACGCUCAGCACCUCCUUCUGAAUGGUGGUUUUUUUAGAUUUGUGCCUACAUGUGCAAACUUGCCUGAGCCAUGUCCUUAAGAUCCAUACCUUUACUAGACACACAUGCCCCUCUCGACUUCAUCCAAGACCCACCAUGGUGGAAUCUCAGCCCGGGGCCUGGGGGGGCAGUCCUUUGCACCCCUGAUGGGUGCCCACUAACCAUGUUGGAGCUGAGCAAUUUUGAGUGAGGUGUUUUGGUCAUUUCCUAAAAUCACAGUAGGCCUCUCUGGCUUUUCCUUAGUUAGUCACUAGCAAAUAAGACCAGUGAGAUACUUCUCAUCUGUUACAAUUGGGGCAGUAGGACCGUUUGACCAAACUUGUUACCAUUUUUACCCAAGAUAGAAGCCACACGGUCAUGGAAAUAGAGGCAGGGGGAUCUUUCCCAUUUUUUAAAAAAUUGAAAACCGAAACCAAUUAUUUCCAUUGUUAAUAGACAAAUAAGUAUUUUAGAUUUAUAAUCAGUCUACAUGUAAUUUUUGAAUCUGUCCCCUUCUCUCCGAGUGUCCUACAGUGCAGUCAACAAGAGGAGGAGCAGCUGACUAUUGCCAAGACUGGCACCUGGGCAAGGCCCACUUCAGAGCCCAGGCCAUGGUCGGCAGCCUGCCAUUCCUUCCUGGUGGGUAAGAGGCUGCUCCUCGGGUCCCUGCGUGUGGCUGCUGGGAGCAUGGCAGCUUACCUCUUCACAGCCAGCGAGGCAGUCCCCUGCAAGACGGAAGUCACAACUUAUGCCACGUCGUCAGCCAUGUGACCAGGCGUACCCCUCACCUGUGCCAUCUGCAGAAGCAGGUGGUAGGUCUGUCUGCCCCCAGGGAAGGAGACCCACAACCCACACACAGUUCCAGAUCACUUGCAGUUGUACGUAUGUGUCCAUUCGAUUAUGUGUUAAACUGGUUCUAUGUGCAUUUUGCGAUUACCUCU